rnacentral:lncRNA from 1 species
UGGAUGACCUGCAUGGAGAACACAAAUUGGCAUCAAUUUCCUCGCUUGUGCAAUCGUGUUCAAUUCCAGAGUGAUUCAGGCUGUUGAAUGAAAGGAGAACAAGAUCUAGCUGUGUGGCAGUUAAUUUCCCAUUGAAGACGGAGACCCUUAUCAGAAAACUGUAUGCUAUGCGCUUCUUGGAGGAGUGAGAUGCAUAUGAAUAAGCUUAUUUUUAUUACAUGAAGUGCGAGUAUGACUCUGCGUAAGUUAGUAUAUUUAAUUUCGAUGAUUAAUUCAUGCGUGGAAUUUUUUAUGAAUGGUAUGUUGAGAAGAUAUAGACCAUGUAAGUACUAUAUUUUUGGAAUUGCUAAUUCUUCUAUUUGUCUCUGGA